CGGGAUCUGAGGUCUACCACAAACUGGCGUAAGCUAAUUGGUUCGCAAUUCAUCAUGUUGUGUUGGAAUUGACCAGAAUUAGCUAAACCAUUCAGAGCAGAAAAAAUAUGGGAAGACCAGCAAUCACAGGAGGAAGAAGAUAGAUGAAUGUCCGCCUGUAACACUUUUCUGACAGUAACGCUAUUGCAUUGGGUGAAAGAGUUAUACAGGCGAAUAGCUGCACGAAAC
rnacentral:lncRNA from 1 species